CCCUUAGAUGUCCUGGGCCGCACGCGCGCUACACUGAGUGUCUGAGAUACGAGUCUGCCGGGUCCGGCAAGGUCUAGGUAAUCGCUAAAAGACACAUCAUGCUUGGGAUAGAUUAUUGCAAAUAUUAAUCUUGAACGAGGAAUUCCUAGUAAGCGCAAGUCAACAGCUUGCGUUGAUUACGUCCCUGCCCUUUGUACACACCGCCCGUCGCUACUACUGAUUGGAUGUUUAAGCGAGGUUCUCGAACUGCUAGCGACUUAGCUUCGGUGAGGUCGCAGUGUGGGAAGUGAACCUAGCUUUGGUGUCUAGAGGAAGUAAAAGUCGUAACA
rnacentral:rRNA from 1 species